AGUCGGUUAGCUCAGUAGGCAGAGCAUCACGUUGUUAACGUGACGGCCGCGGGUUCAACUCCCGCACCAACUU
rnacentral:tRNA from 1 species